CGGCUAUUGCAUACCACUGCCCCUGGGUCUGCUGAGAUUCUGAGUCCCAGGAGGCAGCUGACUGAACUGCCUGAAUGUCACUCUUAUUAACUGAAAAAUGGGGACCCCCAUCUCCUGACACCCAAGAGAACAGAUGUCAGAGGUCUCUUCCCCACCAGGUUCACCAACCAGUUUCUGCUGACACACCAGAACACAAUGGCAGUUGUUUCCUUAUCUUCUCGCUGGCCGCCAUAUUGUCUGCACGGCUGAUCGUCUUCCAGUUUAUCUACUUUACAAACCCAAGCUGCACCCCCGGGACCCUGCCUGUCUUGCUGCAAUGCCCAAGAACAUUGCUCCUCGGGUCGGCUCUGGAAUCUGCACUAGAGCAUUUGGCUGGUUCAUGAAGUGGAGUGAACACUGAUGGGGACGUUAUCAAUGUAGAAGGCUUCACCUGCCCCUCAGUUACUGUCUUUCAGAGGAAAAAACCUAGCUCCAUCAAUUGCUUUGCUAUCCCUUACCCAAAUUAUCUGCACGGUUUUGUUUCCUUUAUUUAUUUAUUUUUCAUUUAGUAGGUCACCUAAUGUUUAAUCACCUUUUACAUUUAUGAGGCUGUAACAAGUCCUGCGCUGGACAUUCUACUUGGGAAACCUGGGAAGAUGCAAAGAAAGGAAGAAGUCCCGCUGCAGAAGAGAGGAAAGGAGCCGAGGGAAGCCACAGCAGGUGCACACACACGUACACGCCUGCACACCACGGGGACAGCCAGCUAGCCCUUGUGAGCCGAUGCACCAUCCACCAGGCCCGGUGAGGACUCUAGACAUAAAUCAAACUAGUCACAGAAGGUUUCCUGCAGGAGGUGGCGCAGAUAAUAGGGCAAAGAAGCAAGAAUGACAGCCUCUGGAUUGGAGUUGAGUCUCACAAGCCCCAAGGCAUAUUUCUUGUCUACACUUUUCUCAGCUGGAAAACAGUGGAAAUAAUUACAAACGGUAAGGGACCGUGGGCAGUAGCCAGUUCAGACUCCACUUGUAUGCUGAGGCUGAGGCUCCAAGAUGGAGCUGAUCUGUCCAAAAGACACAGAGCCAUUCUGAUCUCCUUGGCUCUAAGGGGAAGGGAUGAGAAACCAGUGAGACUCUGAAGCCAUGAAUGGAAAAGAUCACCCUGCAAGUCAUGAUUCCCUGUGGUAAGCACUGGGGCUCCUGGCCAGAAAAGGGGCCGAGUCUGAG
rnacentral:lncRNA from 1 species